GACGAACGCUGGCGGCGUGCUUAACACAUGCAAGUCGAACGGAAAGGCCCUGCUUUUGUGGGGUGCUCGAGUGGCGAACGGGUGAGUAACACGUGAGUAACCUGCCCUUGACUUUGGGAUAACUUCAGGAAACUGGGGCUAAUACAGGAUAGGAGCUCCUGCUGCAUGGUGGGGGUUGGAAAGUUUCGGCGGUUGGGGAUGGACUCGCGGCUUAUCAGCUUGUUGGUGGGGUAGUGGCUUACCAAGGCUUUGACGGGUAGCCGGCCUGAGAGGGUGGCCGGCGACAAUAGUACUGAGGUAGGGCCCAGACGCCUACGGGAGGCAGCGGUGGAGAGUAUUACACAGUGGGCGGGAGUCUGAUGCGACGGCGCUGCGUGCGGAAUGACGUCCUUCGGGUUAUAAACCGCUGUCGCCUGUGACGAAGCGUGAGUGACGGUAAUGAGUAAAGAAGCACCGGCUAACUACGUG
rnacentral:rRNA from 1 species